ensembl:lncRNA
CUGAAAGUUGGGCCCAAAGGAUUAACACAUUACUCAUAAACGGAAUCUGUUCAAAUAAGUAAUGUGUAACCUUGACGCCUCUGAAAAAAUAAAGGUGCAAAUUGCUUCAACAGUGCCACCUAGGGGUGAGGAGUUACACUUCUCUCUUCAAUUGCAUUCUUGACUUUCUAGUUUGUCAGAUGUAGUCUAAAAGAUAGGUUUCUUUAAUAAAUAUCUUCAAUAAAUAAUUAAACUUUUGGCAACAGUAAAUAAUAUUAUUAUUUAUUCAAGCUGGAUUUAAGAAGAAAAAAAAACACUUCAUGGAGAAAAAAAAUCAUCUUAAGUACUCAUGUAUCAUGCCUCAAAAAUCAACUUUAAAUCAAUUAUUUUCAGCCAUGACACACAUAUGCAAAAUCCCACAUUUUAAGUUCAGAAUCAAUGUUCUACCAGAAAGACUCAGGAGGUGAAGAUAAAACGCAAAAGUAUUUAUUUACAAAACCAAUACAAAGAACAGAAUCAUUUUGCCGUAGACCCCAUCUGUAGCUUUAAUCAGACGUUGUAGAUUCCAGUUAUUCCUGCCGAAGACAAAGGCAGGGCGGAGCAUACCCCCGCAUGUACGGGGCCAUCCUGGUGGUUGUGGGGAGGAUGGAGGGAAACAUCUCAGCAGUAUCUGCAAACACAAUGAAGGAGCAGCAGAGCUGGGAAAUAGAGCAGAAGAAUAUAAGAGUGACAUACAAGAAUCUGGAUCAUUCUGCCUCAAGAUGAACGGGGGCCACGAAAUAGCAGACUGAAGGAUCCAGGGGUCGUUCCCAUGACAACCUUUGCCCAGGGAGUCUGCUGACCCCUUCAGCCUGCCAAUACAAGCAGAGUACAGAUUUUAGGUCACAUAUGGCACAGACGAUCCAAUCAGGACUAAUCUGACUUGACUCAGGGUCAUAAAUUAUACUGCAAAGCUGGCUUUUACCAAGACUUGUCUCACUGGACAGGUCAGGGCCACAUUAAUGUGAGUUUAUGAACACAAUACGCACAAGGAAAUCUAGUAUUGGAGUAAACACUUGUUAGAAUUAUUCUUUUUUGUUUGCCUGUCUUUGAAAUUAUUGUCAUUAAAAUCGUUUUUUUUUUUUCUCCCAUGGGAAAAACGACAAAUCAAUGGCAUUAAUUGUUCCACUAACACCAGAUGAACAAAGCUAAAUGACCAAUAACAUGCUGAAUACUAUAUCUGCUUGUUGCUGUGGUGACAUAAAUAUUUAAACAGAAGGCAGAAUCCACUAAUCAAUCAAUCAAUAAAAUUUUGCCUGCAUUCCAACUGUGGAACUACAAAGGGGGCUGUUAAUCUUUCUUUUGUGCAUAUAAAUUUGCGAGCCUAAGGCUCCAUCAUUGACUGGUACUCAAGCAGACAUAUGCAGCCCUAAAGGGAGUCUUUUGGACUCUAAUUUCUCAGUUUGGCCCAUCUGCAGCCCUCUGGUUCUGACAUGCUUGUAGCCAUGUGCAUUAUUUAUAAUAUUCUUGGGAAGUGAAGACAAACUGCUGACCAAGAGGUUCACGUCUAGAGUAAAAUAAGAUGUUCGGUGUGCAACAAACUGGCACAAAGCAAGAUCACACUGAUUGCUGACAGAUGGGCAGCCAUAUUCUGUGCUUCAUAGCAUUUGCCAGGCUCUCAUUUUUAAUGAUAGAGAUGUUCCGUAUGGCAAAAACUUUGUUUGCCUAAAAGCAUGCAUUAAAAUAACAGUAAAGACAUUUAUAAUGCUACCAAAGACUUAUAUUUUGAAGAACUGCUUUUCUUUUGAACUUUCUAUUCAAGGAAUCCUGAGAGAAAAAAAAAA